CCUACGGGAGGCUGCAGUGGGGAAUAUUGCACAAUGGGCGCAAGCCUGAUGCAGCCAUGCCGCGUGUGUGAAGAAGGCCUUCGGGUUGUAAAGCACUUUCAGCGGGGAGGAAGGCGUUAAGGUUAAUAACCUUGGCGAUUGACGUUACCCGCAGAAGAAGCACCGGCUAACUCCGUGCCAGCAGCCGCGGUAAUACGGAGGGUGUAAGCGUUAAUCGGAAUUACUGGGCGUAAAGCGCACGCAGGCGGUCUGUCAAGUCGGAUGUGAAAUCCCCGGGCUCAACCUGGGAACUGCAUUCGAAACUGGCAGGCUAGAGUCUUGUAGAGGGGGGUAGAAUUCCAGGUGUAGCGGUGAAAUGCGUAGAGAUCUGGAGGAAUACCGGUGGCGAAGGCGGCCCCCUGGACAAAGACUGACGCUCAGGUGCGAAAGCGUGGGGAGCAAACAGGAUUAGAUACCCCGGUAGUC
rnacentral:rRNA from 1 species